rnacentral:ncRNA from 1 species
AGGGGGAGGCCUAAGGCCUGAGAUGUCUGUUCCCAGCGAACCCCUAGAACCUGAUCCGGUUAAUACCGGCGUAGGAAUGGACGCAUUUU